GUGAGGAAUUUUCCGCAAUGGGCGAAAGCCUGGCGGAGCAAUGCCGCGUGAAGGAUGAAGGCCUAUGGGUUGUAAACUUCUUUUCUUAGAGAAGAAUAUUGACGGUAUCUGAGGAAUAAGUAUCGGCUAACUCUGUGCCAGCAGCCGCGGUAAGACAGAGGAUGCAAGCGUUAUCCGGAAUGAUUGGGCGUAAAGCGUCUGUAGGUGGCUUCAAAAGUCUCCUGUCAAAGAUCAGGGCUUAACCCUGGGCCGGCAGGAGAAACUCUGAGGCUAGAGUUUGGUAGGGGCAGAGGGAAUUCCCGGUGGAGCGGUGAAAUGCGUAGAGAUCGGGAGGAACACCAAAGGCGAAAGCACUCUGCUGGGCCACAACUGACACUGAGAGACGAAAGCGAGGGGAGCAAAAGGGAUUAGAAACCCUAGUAGUCC
rnacentral:rRNA from 1 species